GAUGAACGCUGGCGGCGUGCCUAAUACAUGCAAGUCGAGCGAACAGAUAAGGAGCUUGCUCCUUUGACGUUAGCGGCGGACGGGUGAGUAAAACGUGGGUAACCUACCUAUAAGACUGGAAUAACUCCGGGAAACCGGGGCUAAUGCCGGAUAACAUUUAGAACCGCAUGGUUCUAAAGUGAAAGAUGGUUUUACUAUCACUUAUAGAUGGACCCGCGCCGUAUUAGCUAGUUGGUAAGGUAACGGCUUACCAAGGCAACGAUACGUAGCCGACCUGAGAGGGUGAUCGGCCACACUGGAACUGAGACACGGUCCAGACUCCUACGGGAGGCAGCAGUAGGGAAUCUUCCGCAAUGGGCGAAAGCCUGACGGAGCAACGCCGCGUGAGUGAUGAAGGUCUUCGGAUCGUAAAACUCUGUUAUUAGGGAAGAACAAAUGUGUAAGUAACUGUGCACGUCUUGACGGUACCUAAUCAGAAAGCCACGGCUAACUACGUG
rnacentral:rRNA from 1 species